rnacentral:rRNA from 1 species
GUGGCGCACGGGUGAGUAACAUGUGGGAAUAUGCCUUUUGGUACGGAACAACGUUUGGAAACGAACGCUAAUACCGUAUGGUCCCUCCGGGGUAAAGAUUUAUCGCCAAAAGAUUAGCCCGCACUAGAUUAGCUAGUUGGUGAGGUAAGAGCUCACCAAGGCGACGAUCUAUAGCUGGUCUGAGAGGACGAUCAGCCACACUGGGACUGAGACACGGCCCAGACUCCUACGGGAGGCAGCAGUUAGGAAUAUUGGACAAUGGGCGCAAGCCUGAUCCAGCCAUGCCGCGUGAACGAUGAAGGCCUUCGGGUUGUAAAGUUCUUUAGCCGACGAAUAUAAUGACUGUAGUCGGAAAAUAAGCCCCGGCUAACUUCGUGCCAGCAGCCGCGGUAAUACGAAGGGGGCGAGCGUUAUUCGGAAUCACUGGGCGUAAAGCGUGCGUAGGCUGUUUUGUAAGUCAGAAGUGAAAGCCCAGGGCUCAACCCUGGAAUUGCUUUUGAAACUACGAGACUUGAAUUCGGGAGAGGAUAGCGGAAUUGUCAGUGUAGCAGUGAAAUGCGUAGAUAUUGACAGGAACACCAGUGGCGAAAGCGGCUAUCUGGACCGACAUUGACGCUGAGGCACGAAAGCGUGGGGAGCAAACAGGAUUAGAUACCCUGGUAGUCCACGCCGUAACGAUGUGAGUUUGUCGUUGGGGGUCUUAGACCUUCAGUGACGUAGUUAACGCGUUAAACUCACCGCCUGGGAAGUACGGCCGCAAGGUUAAAACUCAAAGGAAUUGACGGGGACCCGCACAAGCGGUGGAGUAUGUGGUUUAAUUCGUCGCAACGCG